AAUUCUCAAAAACCUUUCUUUUGUGAAAGGGUUUUGGACUUGGAGGCUUUUUGCUGGCUUCACCUUGAAGCGAGCUCCUCCCAAAUGAAUCAGUGGGGUCUGCUUUGCCGAUCCUUGACGUGAUAAGAUGUUACUACGUCUCGGGUUCGGCGAUGUCUCUUGGGCACCUGCUUCUAACCGUCUCAUCGACAAUGAUGGCGUUCCGGUCACCACCGUUUCGACGGUCGGGAGGCUUGACCCACCAAAAAAA
rnacentral:misc_RNA from 1 species